rnacentral:rRNA from 1 species
AUGUGGCUGGCCGUCCAAUACAGGAUUUGGACUUCGGAUAGACGAGUACGACACGGAUUGCAGGACAUGAUAUCUCCAUGUUUUUUGUGUGAGCAGGAGGAGGACACGGUGGAUCACAUCCUCACACAUUGUGUCUAUGCAAGGCAGGUCUGGUUUCAAUGCUUCACCAAGGUUGAGAUCCCUUUGGAGCUGAUGCCAAAUGGACAUGAAAGGGUCGAAGACUGGUGGGUAGCUUCGAGGAAGAGGGUGCCCAAGGCACAGCGGAAGGACUUCGACACCUUUGUCAUUUUGAUUUGUUGGAGUUUAUGGAAGCAGAGGAAUGGUAGGGUUUGUGGUAGGAACAACUUGUGUAAUGAACUAGAGUUGGUUAGGGACAUUUUCAGGGAACGCCAAUUAUGGGCGCUAGCGAGAGGGAGUGGGGUGCUACAUUUUUGCGAGUAG